rnacentral:rRNA from 1 species
AUUGAACGCUGGCGGCAUGCCUUACACAUGCAAGUCGAACGGCAGCACGGGAGCAAUCCUGGUGGCGAGUGGCGAACGGGUGAGUAAUAUAUCGGAACGUGCCCAGUCGUGGGGGAUAACGCAGCGAAAGCUGUGCUAAUACCGCAUACGAUCUAAGGAUGAAAGCGGGGGAUCGCAAGACCUCGCGCGAUUGGAGCGGCCGAUAUCAGAUUAGCUAGUUGGUGGGGUAAAGGCCCACCAAGGCGACGAUCUGUAGCUGGUCUGAGAGGACGACCAGACACACUGGAACUGAGACACGGUCCAGACUCCUACGGGAGGCAGCAGUGGGGAAUUUUGGACAAUGGGCGCAAGCCUGAUCCAGCAAUGCCGCGUGCAGGAUGAAGGCCUUCGGGUUGUAAACUGCUUUUGUACGGAACGAAACGGCCCUUUCUAAUACGGGGGGCUAAUGACGGUACCGUAAGAAUAAGCACCGGCUAACUACGUGCCAGCCGCCGCCGUAACAC